AUAAAAACUUCAACCUAAGUAUGCGUUCCUUUCUAGCCGCCAACCCCACAUUCCUCCCUUUUCCCGUUUCCUUCUUUUACAACGUCUUCUCUCUCCACCGGAAUCACUGACUGUCUUCUCUCUUUUCAGGUAUGUUUAUAUUUUAAGAUUUUUCAAUCCCCAUACACCUACUUGAGUUAGAAUUUUUGGAUUUAUAUUCUAACAAUUUGAUAGUUAUUGUGUGGUACUGUGAUAGGUAAUGAAUGGAACCUUUAAGACUAUAAUGUAAUGUUGGGAGUGUCACAGUUCGUCAAAAAGACAUUACAUUAAUGAGAUAAAAUUCUUUCAAAUUUUUUUUAAAAAGCAUACAGGUUUGUUUUCUUGUCUUGUUGCUUUGAAUUUUUCCCUCUUGUUAUAUGCUAAAAGUUCUUUUACACAUUUUCUCUCUUUGAACGUUCUUCUAGCAUUUUUACAAGUCAAACUUGCAUCUUAGUAUUAAUAUUUCUUUUGAUUCCGUCAUUCUUUUGUGCUAAUUAUUAUUUCUUUUGAAUUUACAGGGUGCAUUUUAAUCUAUUGAAUGCAAGAAGAUCAUCCUUGAUGCAAAGAGUGAAAUUACUUCAUCCUUGGCUACAGAAGAUCAUCUGGUGGCAACAUCUUCGGUCCCCGAAUCAAAUACUUUGAACUUAAUUUUGUUUCGAAGUGGAGCCCUUCCGAAUUUUAUAGAUUAUAGUUAAAUAACCUACUUACUUUAGAUAGACA
rnacentral:lncRNA from 1 species